GAUGAACGCUGGCGGCGUGCCUAAUACAUGCAAGUCGUACGGAAAGGCCCUUCGGGGUACUCGAGUGGCGGACGGCUGAGUAACGCGUGGGAACGUGCCCCAAAGUGAGGGAUAACGCACCGAAAGGUGUGCUAAUACCGCAUAUGGUCUUCGGAUUAAAGCUUCGGCGCUUUGGGAGCGGCCCGCGUACGAUUAGAUAGUUGGUGAGGUAAUGGCUCGCCAAGUCGACGAUCGUUAGCUGGUCUGAGAGGAUGAUCAGCCAGACUGGGACUGAGACACGGCCCAGACUCCCACGGGAGGCAGCAGUAAGGAAUCUUCCACAAUGGGGGCAACCCUGAUGGAGCAACGCCGCGUGCAGGAUGAAUGCCUUCGGGUUGUAAACUGCUUUUAUAUGUGACGAUUAUGACGGUAGCAUAUGAAUAAGGAUCGGCUAACUCCGUGCCAGCCGCCGCCGUAA
rnacentral:rRNA from 1 species